rnacentral:rRNA from 1 species
GAGCUCAAAUUUAAAAUCUGGCGUCUUUCAGGCGUCCGAGUUGUAAUCUAUAGAGGCGUUUUCCGCGCCGGACCGCGUCCAAGUCUCUUGGAAUAGAGUAUCAAAGAGGGUGACAAUCCCGUACUUGACGCGACAACCGGUGCUCUGUGAUACGUUCUCAAUGAGUCGAGUUGUUUGGGAAUGCAGCUCUAAAUGGGUGGUAAAUUCCAUCUAAGGCUAAAUAUUGGCGAGAGACCGAUAGCGAACAAGUACCGUGAGGGAAAGAUGAAAAGCACUUUGGAAAGAGAGUUAAACAGCACGUGAAAUUGUUAAAAGGGAAACGAUUGAAGUCAGUCGUGUGAAAGGUAUUCAGCCGUCUCUGGCGGUGUAUUUGCCUUUCACGGGUCAACAUCAGUUUGAUCCGGUAGAAAAAGGCGGGAGGAAGGUGGCACCCUCGGGUGUGUUAUAGCCUCCUGUCAUAUGUGCCGGACCAGACUGAGGAACGCAGCUUGCCGCAAGGCCGGGGUUCGCCCACGUACAAGCUUAGGAUGUUGACAUAAUGGCUUUAAACGACCC